rnacentral:rRNA from 1 species
GCUCAGUAACACGUGGAUAACGUGCCCUAGAGUGGAGGAUAAUCUCGGGAAAUUGAGGAUAAUACUCCAUAGAUCAUGAAUUCUGGAACGACUCAUGGUUGAAAGUUCCGGCGCUCUAGGAUCGGUCUGCGGCCUAUCAGGUAGUAGUGGGUGUAACGGACCCACUAGCCGACGACGGGUAUGGGCCUUGAGAGAGGGAGCCCAGAGAUGGAAUCUGAGACACGAUUCCAGGCCCUACGGGGCGCAGCAGUCGCGAAAACUUCACAAUGGAGGCAACUCCGAUGAGGGAAUUCCAAGUGCUAGCACAUUAGUGUUAGCUUUUCUUAAGCAUAGAUAACUUAAGGAAUAAGGGCUGGGUAAGACGGGUGCCAGCCGCCGCGGUAAUACCCGCAGCCCAAGUGGUGGUCGAUUUUAUUGAGUCUAAAACGUUCGUAGCCGGUUCAUUAAAUCCUUGGGUAAAUCGGAUGGCUUAACUAUCCGAAUUCCGGGGAGACUGGUGAACUUGGGACCGGGAGAGGCAAGAGGUACUUUUGGGGUAGGGGUAAAAUCCUGUAAUCCUAAAAGGACCACCGGUGGCGAAGGCGUCUUGCUAGAACGGAUCCGACGGUGAGGGACGAAGCCCUGGGUCGCAAACGGGAUUAGAUACCCCGGUAGUCCAGGGUGUAAACGCUGCAGACUUGGUGUUGGGGACCCUUCGGGGGUGUUCAGUGCCGGAGAGAAGUUGUUAAGUCUGCUACUUGGGGAGUACGUCCGCAAGGAUGAAACUUAAAGGAAUUGGCGGGGGAGCACCGCAACGGGAGGAACGUGCGGUUUAAUUGGAUUCAACACCGGAAAACUCACCAGCAGCGACUAUUACAUGAAAGUCAGGCCGAUGACCUUACUAGAUUUUUAGAGAGGUGGUGCAUGGCCGUCGUCAGUUCGUACCGUAAGGCGUUCUCUUAAGUGAGAUAACGAACGAGACCCUCACCAAUAAUUGCUACUGCGUCGUCCGCGGCGUAGGCACAUUAUUGGGACCGCUGGCGCUAAGUCAGAGGAAGGAGUGGACGACGGUA